rnacentral:rRNA from 1 species
UGGGGAAUAUUGCACAAUGGGCGCAAGCCUGAUGCAGCCAUGCCGCGUGUGUGAAGAAGGCCUUCGGGUUGUAAAGCACUUUCAGCGGGGAGGAAGGCGGUGAGGUUAAUAACCUCACCGAUUGACGUUACCCGCAGAAGAAGCACCGGCUAACUCCGUGCCAGCAGCCGCGGUAAUACGGAGGGUGCAAGCGUUAAUCGGAAUUACUGGGGGUAAAGCGCACGCAGGCGGUUGAUUGAGUCAGAUGUGAAAUCCCCGGGCUUAACCCGGGAAUUGCAUCUGAUACUGGUCAGCUAGAGUCUUGUAGAGGGGGGUAGAAUUCCAUGUGUAGCGGUGAAAUGCGUAGAGAUGUGGAGGAAUACCGGUGGCGGAGGCGGCCCCCUGGACAAAGACUGACGCUCAGGUGCGAAAGCGUGGGGAGCAAACAGG